CAAAGGGAAGCGAGACGGUGACGUUAAGCAAAUCCCAAAAAUAACGUCCCAGUUCGGAUUGUAGUCUGCAACUCGACUACAUGAAGCUGGAAUCGCUAGUAAUCGCGAAUCAGAAUGCCGCGGUGAAUACGUUCCCGGGUCUUGUACACACCGCCCGUCACACCAUGGGAGUCAGUAACGCCCGAAGCCGGUGACCCAACCUAAUCAGGAGGGAGCCGUCGAAGGCGGGACGGAUGACUGGGGUGAAGUCGUAACAAGGUAGC
rnacentral:rRNA from 1 species